rnacentral:rRNA from 1 species
UACGUAGGGUGCAAGCGUUGUCCGGGAAUUACUGGGCGUAAAGCGCACGUAGGCGGCUUUGUAAGUUAGAGGUGAAAGCCCAGGGCUUAACCCCUGGAAUUGCCUUUAAGACUGCAUCGCUAGAAUCGUGGAGAGGUGAGUGGAAAUUCCGAGUGUAGAGGUGAAAUUCGUAGAUAUUCGGAAGAACACCAGUGGCGAAAGGCGACUCACUGGACA